UACGAAGGGGGCUAGCGUUGUUCGGAAUUACUGGGCGUAAAGCGCACGUAGGCGGAUCGAUCAGUCAGGGGUGAAAUCCCAGAGCUCAACUCUGGAACUGCCUUUGAUACUGUCGAUCUGGAGUAUGGAAGAGGUGAGUGGAAUUCCGAGUGUAGAGGUGAAAUUCGUAGAUAUUCGGAGGAACACCAGUGGCGAAGGCGGCUCACUGGUCCAUUACUGACGCUGAGGUGCGAAAGCGUGGAGAGCAAACAGG
rnacentral:rRNA from 1 species